CGAGCGGCGAACGGGUGAGUAACACGUGAGUAAUCUGCCCUUGGCUUCGGGAUAGCCACCGGAAACGGUGAUUAAUACCGGAUAUGACAGCGCCAUGCAUGUGGUGUUGUGGAAAGUUUUUCGGCCAGGGAUGUGCUCGCGGCCUAUCAGCUUGAUGGUGAGGUAAUGGCUCACCAUGGCUUCGACGGGUAGCCGGCCUGAGAGGGUGACCGGUCACACUGGGACUGAGACACGGCCCAGACUCCUACGGGAGGCAGCAGUGGGGAAUAUUGGACAAUGGGCGGAAGCCUGAUCCAGCAACGCCGCGUGAGGGAUGACGGCCUUCGGGUUGUAAACCUCUUUCAGUACCGACGAAGCGCAAGUGACGGUAGGUACAGAAGAAGCACCGGCCAACUACGUGCCAGCAGCCGCGGUAAUACGUAGGGUGCGAGCGUUGUCCGGAAUUAUUGGGCGUAAAGGGCUCGUAGGCGGUUUGUCGCGUCGGGAGUGAAAACGCCGUGCUUAACACGGCGCUUGCUUUCGAUACGGGCAGACUAGAGGUAUGCAGGGGA
rnacentral:rRNA from 1 species